rnacentral:rRNA from 1 species
UACGAGGGGUGCAAGCGUUGCUCGGAAUUAUUGGGCGUAAAGGGUAGGUAGGUGGUCUCAUUUGUCCGGGGUGAAAUCCUUGGGCUUAACUCAAGAAGUGCCCCGGAAACGGUGAGACUAGAGUCCUGGAGAGGGUCGUGGAAUUCCCGGUGUAGCGGUGAAAUGCGUAGAGAUCGGGAGGAACACCAGAGGCGAAGGCGGCGACCUGGACAGGCACUGACACUCAACUACGAAAGCGUGGGGAGCAAACAGG